rnacentral:rRNA from 1 species
GACGAACGCUGGCGGCGUGCCUAAUACAUGCAAGUUGAGCGCUGAAGGUUGGUACUUGUACCCACUGGAUGAGCAGCGAACGGGUGAGUAACGCGUGGGGAAUCUGCCUUUGAGCGGGGGACAACAUUUGGAAACGAAUGCUAAUACCGCAUAAUAACUUUAAACACAAGUUUUAAGUUUGAAAGAUGCAAUUGCAUCACUCAAAGAUGAUCCCGCGUUGUAUUAGCUAGUUGGUGAGGUAAAGGCUCACCAAGGCGAUGAUACAUAGCCGACCUGAGAGGGUGAUCGGCAACAUUGGGAAUGAGACACGGCCCAAACUCCUACGGGAGGCAGCAGUAGGGAAUCUUCGGCAAUGGACGAAAGUCUGACCGAGCAACGCCGCGUGAGUGAAGAAGGGUUUCGGAUCGUAAAACUCUGUUGGUAGAGAAGAACGUUGGUGAGAGUGGAAAGCUCAUCAAGUGACGGUAACUACCCAGAAAGGGACGGCUAACUACGUG